rnacentral:lncRNA from 1 species
AAGUUGGCUACAUUUGUUUCGGCACGGAGAUUAAGAAAUGGAGUGUUAUGUUUUAAUUGAGUGGGGCCCAUCAAAAUUAAGGUAUUUAAUUAAAUCUGUCUUCUUCUCCAAUGCGUCUCUGCAUCUGUUUCAUUUUCUGAUCGACGCCGGCGCCAGCGCCGGCGCCGACAAACGCCCCUCGCCCCUUUAUCAAAUCGCAAAUCAGACACCCAAAUCAAAUUUCUCAAAGAGAAUCGCAUAGACAGAAAUCAUAAGAAAUUUCUCCAGAUCUUCAGAUCUUGCCAAGAAAUUUCUCCAGAUCUUCAAAUCGCAUAGACACCCAAACCAGAUUUCUCCAAGAAAUUCUUCAAGAAAUUUCUCCAGAUCUUGCCCAAACCAACACCCAAACACGCCAUUUAUCCGCACCAGAAUCUCAAUUCAUCUCCCAAUUAUUCCAUCACGCCAAAAACCCAUUUCAAAUCCAAACUUAUCGAUGAAACAACAACAAGCAAUUCUGAAAUCUCUGGUGCCAAAUUCAACCAGAAAACCCCAUCUGAAAAAACAAAUAACCUCGAAAGUUACGCGCCACAAUGUCUGAGAUCGUGGAGUCAUCCAGAUUGCAGGCGAGCCCUAGCCCCCAAAUCGGCGCAUGACCUCACGCAUUUGGGCGGCGAGCUUCGAACCCCCAAAUCGCCCAAGGAUGCGACGGUGAGAGGGAGGGAGAGAGAGAUCUGUAACAAGAGAGAGAGAGGGAGAGAGGCGGCGACGGUCGAAUGGGCGAAAGGCGGCGGCGGCCGGAGAGGCGAGAGGCGGCGGCGGCGAUGGGGGUGGCAUCCCGCCGGAGAAGAAGAGAGAGGCAGGCGCUGUGAGAGAGAGAAAUAUGAGUGAGGAUAUGAUAGGUUAAAUGAGUGUAGAAGAUAGGUUUAAUUAGGUGUAGAUUAGUUGAUUAAUUAUAGAGUUUAAUUUGGUGUAAUUUUUAC